rnacentral:rRNA from 1 species
CCUACGGGGGGCAGCAGUGAGGAAUAUUGGUCAAUGGACGAGAGUCUGAACCAGCCAAGUAGCGUGAAGGAUGACUGCCCUAUGGGUUGUAAACUUCUUUUAUAAAGGAAUAAAACGAGGCACGUGUGCCUUUUUGCAUGUACUUUAUGAAUAAGGAUCGGCUAACUCCGUGCCAGCAGCCGCGGUAAUACGGAGGAUCCGAGCGUUAUCCGGAUUUAUUGGGUUUAAAGGGAGCGUAGAUGGGUUGUUAAGUCAGUUGUGAAAGUUUGCGGCUCAACCGUAAAAUUGCAAUUGAUACUGGCAGUCUAGAGUACAGUUGAGGUAGGCGGAAUUCGUGGUGUAGCGGUGAAAUGCUUAGAGAUCACGAAGAACCCCGAGUGCGAAGGCAGCUUACUAAACUGUGACUGACAUUGAUGCUCGAAAGUGUGGGUAUCAAACAGGAUUAGAUACCCUUGUAGUC